UAUGGGGGUCUGUGUGUAUAUGGGUGGGCAGUGUACACACAUACACUGCCCACCCAUAUACACACAGACCCCCAUACA